rnacentral:misc_RNA from 1 species
GGGAAUAUCAGACACCUUAUACUGGGGUUACGAAAAAUACUGAAAUAGCAGGAUUGGAAGCACAACAAUCCUCAAAGAUAUAGCUGGCGGAAAAUUUUUAGUCUAUAGACUUGUUUGUUAAGCAAUGUGGUACAACAAUUAUGUUUCAAAAUGAAUUCAAACACCAGAACACCCUGUAUCAGAACAGAAUAUACUUGCAUCCAACACACUCCCUUUUGAAUGUGAAAUAGGUCCCUAUCUAGACUUCAUAAAU